AACGAACGCUGGCGGCAGGCCUAACACAUGCAAGUCGAACGCCCUAGCAAUAGGGAGUGGCAGACGGGUGAGUAACGCGUGGGAACGUACCCUUCGGUUCGGAAUAACCCAGGGAAACUUGGACUAAUACCGGAUACGUGCGAGAGCAGAAAGAUUUAUCGCCGAAGGAUCGGCCCGCGUCCGAUUAGCUAGUUGGUGAGGUAAUGGCUCACCAAGGCGACGAUCGGUAGCUGGUCGAGAGGAUGAUCAGCCACACUGGGACUGAGACACGGCCCAGACUCCUACGGGAGGCAGCAGUGGGGAAUAUUGGACAAUGGGCGCAAGCCUGAUCCAGCCAUGCCGCGUGAGUGAUGAAGGCCCUAGGGUUGUAAAGCUCUUUCGCC
rnacentral:rRNA from 1 species